GGUUAAGAUACAGAUCCUGCCUGGGA
rnacentral:piRNA from 1 species